GACGAACGCUGGCGGCGUGCUUAACACAUGCAAGUCGAACGGAAAGGCCCUGCUUUUGUGGGGUGCUCGAGUGGCGAACGGGGGAGUAACACGUGAGUAACCUGCCCUUGACUUUGGGAUAACUUCAGGAAACUGGGGCUAAUACCGGAUAGGAGCUCCUGCUGCAUGGUGGGGGUUGGAAAGUUUCGGCGGUUGGGGAUGGACUCGCGGCUUAUCGGCUUGUUGGUGGGGUAGUGGCUUACCAAGGCUUUGACGGGUAGCCGGCCUGGGAGGGUGGCCGGCCUCAUUGGGCCUACGGUACGGCCCAGUCUCCAACGGGGGGCAACGGUCGGAAAUAUUGCACAGUGGGCCGAAGCCUGUUGCAGCAGCGCCGCGUGCGGGAUGACGGCCUUCGGGUUGUAAACCGCUUUCGCCUGUGACGAAGCGUGAGUGACGGUAAUGGGUAAAGAAGCACCGGCUAACUACGUG
rnacentral:rRNA from 1 species